rnacentral:rRNA from 1 species
CUAGUAACGGCGAGUGAAGCGGCAACAGCUCAAAUUUGAAAUCUGGCUUCGGCCCGAGUUGUAAUUUGCAGAGGAAGCUUUAGGCGCGGCACCUUCUGAGUCCCCUGGAACGGGGCGCCAUAGAGGGUGAGAGCCCCGUAUAGUUGGAUGCCUAGCCUGUGUAAAGCUCCUUCGACGAGUCGAGUAGUUUGGGAAUGCUGCUCAAAAUGGGAGGUAAAUUUCUUCUAAAGCUAAAUACCGGCCAGAGACCGAUAGCGCACAAGUAGAGUGAUCGAAAGAUGAAAAGCACUUUGAAAAGAGGGUUAAACAGCACGUGAAAUUGUUGAAAGGGAAGCGCUUGUGACCAGACUUGCGCCAGGCUGAUCAUCCGGUGUUCUCACCGGUGCACUCGGCCCGGCACAGGCCAGCAUCGGUUCUCGCGGGGGGAUAAAGGUCUCGGGAACGUAGCUCCUCCGGGAGUGUUAUAGCCCGGGGCGUAAUGCCCUCGCGGGGACCGAGGUUCGCGCAUCUGCAAGGAUGCUGGCGUAAUGGUCAUCAGCGACCCGUCUUGAAACACGGACCAAGGAGUCAAGGUUUUGCGCGAGUGUUUGGGUGUCAAACCCGCACGCGUAAUGAAAGUGAACGUAGGUGAGAGCUUCGGCGCAUCAUCGACCGAUCCUGAUGUUUUCGGAUGGAUUUGAGUAGGAGCGUUAAGCCUUGGACCCGAAAGAUGGUGAACUAUGCUUGGAUAGGGUGAAGCCAGAGGAAACUCUGGUGGAGGCUCGCAGCGGUUCUGACGUGCAAAUCGAUCGUCAAAUCUGAGCAU